GAGAGAGUGUGUGUAUGUAUGUGUGUGUGUGUGUAUGGAUUAGUUUUUGAGAGAGAGAGAGAGAGAGUGUGUGUGUGUUGGUGUGUGGAUAUACCGCCGGUGGUGCAUGUGCUUGCAUGUGCGUUUACGUAUGUAUGUAUGUUGUUACAGGGUGGUUAACUUCGCCAGCGGCCCCCUUUCCCGGGGCAGUCCCUGCUCUCCCCUGCUAGAGGGGCACCCUAAUCCGUCACCCCAUCCGACUUCAGAAUGUAUUCGUUGGGUUCGGCAACUCACCACCAGCAUCCAACCAAAUCUAGCGGAUCAACGGCGCAUCAACUUAGUUCCUGGUCAGCUCGCAAGUUGAUAUUAUCACGUCCUACACCGUCCAUAAGAUGGGGGGCCACCUCCCAUUUCAUCACUCCUCAAACACCCGAGGAGCCGGCAGGCGGAUUUGAACCCGGGUCGACUGGGUCGACUGGGAGCAGAAGUCAGGCCUUAACCUCUGCCAGCCGCCUGCCUAUAUGUAUGUAUAUUGUUACAGGGUGGUUAACUUCGCCAGCGGCCCCCUUUCCCGGGGCAGUCCCUGCUCUCCCCUGCUAGAGGGGCACCCUAAUCCGUCACCCCAUCCGACUUCAGAAUGUAUUCGUUGGGUUCGGCAACUCACCACCAGCAUCCAACCAAAUCUAGCGGAUCAACGGCGCAUCAACUUAGUUCCUGGUCAGCUCGCAAGGUGAUAUUAUCACGUCCUACACCGUCCAUAGGGUGGGGGGCCACCUCCCAUUACAUCACUCCUCAAACACCCGAGGAGCCGGCAGGCGGAUUUGAACCCGGGUCGACUGGGUCGACUGGGAGCAGAAGUCAGGCUUUAACCUCUGCCAGCCGCCUGCCUAUGUAUGUAUGUAUGCAAGGAAUGAUGGCAGGUGACCAGUACCGAACCAGCAACAGCCAUGUAUGUAUAUCGGAGUGAGGCCCCAUCCAUAACCAUCGCCUCCUCAUCAGCUGUGCGCCAUAAUAAUAUAAAUAAUAAGGAGAAUCAUCAUCAUCACCACCACCACCACCACCACCACCACCACCACCAGCACGACAACCAUCACCACCACCACGACAACCAUGACCAUCUGACGAUGGUGAGUCAAAUGAGAGUCAUGCGGAUGGUGCGGAUUGCAGCAAGUCGGGGCCUCUCCUCUCCUCGCAUCAGCAGCAUCGAGCAAAAGCCUACAACGGCGGUAUGCAAAUCAACAAAUUUGCAGCGCUUCCUUUCCCCCACUUUGGGGUAGAGGCGCUCAACACGCCAAAGGACAUCCACUACACGCCCAAGACCGCCUGUACUUGGUACUCUUGAGCCUUCUGGCCAGCACCUACGAAAACAGGCAUGCAUGCAGCCCCAGUACUAGCACAUGCAGCGAGCGGUGAUGACCUCUCCCUGCCCGACACAUGCAUAUGCACACACAUAUAGGGGGACGAUGUUCGGUG
rnacentral:lncRNA from 1 species